rnacentral:rRNA from 1 species
AUUGAACGCUGGCGGCAGGCCUAACACAUGCGAGUCGAGCGGAUGAAGGGAGCUUGCUCCUGGAUUCAGCGGCGGACGGGUGAGUAAUGCCUAGGAAUCUGCCUGGUAGUGGGGGAUAACGUCCGGAAACGGGCGCUAAUACCGCAUACGUCCUGAGGGAGAAAGUGGGGGAUCUUCGGACCUCACGCUAUCAGAUGAGCCUAGGUCGGAUUAGCUAGUUGGUGGGGUAAAGGCCUACCAAGGCGACGAUCCGUAACUGGUCUGAGAGGAUGAUCAGUCGCACUGGAACUGAGACACGGUCCAGACUCCUACGGGAGGCAGCAGUGGGGAAUAUUGGACAAUGGGCGAAAGCCUGAUCCAGCCAUGCCGCGUGUGUGAAGAAGGUCUUCGGAUUGUAAAGCACUUUAAGUUGGGAGGAAGGGCAGUAAGUUAAUACCUUGCUGUUUUGACGUUACCAACAGAAUAAGCACCGGCUAACUUCGU